rnacentral:lncRNA from 1 species
GAGCUGAGCCGUGGUCGCCUGUCAGGGAGCGUGGCCCGAGGGCCCACGCAGAGCUCUAUGGCAGCCAGCACAGUGGGAGAGGAGGAGGCUAAACUGGAGGGAGAACUUCCGGGUUGUGAGGGCUGCAGACAUUGGAUGGGGGUGGAGGCCAAAGGGUCGGCCUCUGGGAUCUUCCAGGAGAGGAAAGAGGACCCCUGUGCCCUCAACCCAGGUGUUCCUCACAGCGGCUGCAGCCAACGCCAGGCCGGCUUUACUGGCCCAUCUCAUGGAUGGGAGCAGGACAGGGAAAAGAUCAUUUGAGGUCACACAGCAGCCAGUGGCAGGACUGAGACAGAGGCAGGGCCCUGGGCUCAGGCCACCUUCCUCACAGAGGCUGCCCGCUGGGUACGUCUGAGGUUCUUAGACUCUAGAAAGUACCAUCUUAGCCCUCCUGUUCUAGGUUCUCCUUGGGCCCGACUUUUCUUUGCGGGUACUCCCACGCUGUCCACCCACCCAAAGAAACACUUUGUGCUACAAAAAUACCUGGCACACUGUCCUUUCCCCACCGACAAGCACCGGGAGAGCGAAGCAGCCCAGGAGGUCAGUGGAGAGAACAAGAGCCAUGUUCUCCAGAGGUCUGGGAGGGAAUCCUGGACCAGCACUCAGCAAACAGGCCGCUCACCCACCACGCUGAGCUCCACUUACCCCUCUGUUAAAUGGGCCACCAAUCCCCACCUUGCAGCACAAGGAUUAAGUGAGACAUCUGAGCAUAGAGCCUGGUAUAGGGUAAGUACCCAAUAAACUCCUAUUGUUCCCACUCCUCAAGGGGACAGAAAGAGGUAUUAGAGUGACAAGUGACAAGGUUUUCAGCACCUCAGGUCCUUUGAUGUGCCCUGUGAGGAAGGGCAGCCUUUGUGAGGACCCUGCAUCCAGGGUCCUAGUCUCGGUCUCAGUUCUGUCACUGGCCGCUCAGUGACCUCAGGUGAUCUUUCCCUGGAGUUUCCUAAUCUCUUCUUUGCGAUGGGCCAGUAAUGUUGGCCUGACCCUUCUCAUGGGGUACUAGCCCUCCCGUGUGGGCCCCUCUGUCCUCCAAGAGCAGGAAACCCACCCAUCCUGGUUGCAUGGGACAGCUACCCUUCCGUUCAAAACUUUCCAAGAAUUUGAAUGGAGGGAGGGCCAAAUCCUCCCUAGUCUGUUUCCAGGGCCCAGAAAGGUGGAAGGUACACUGCUCAGAAAUGUGGGUGAAAGUUCUAGAGGCUGCCCUCCAUCACCAGUGUGACCUGGGACUACCCCUCACCUUUCCACAUGCAAAAUGAUCCUGGUAUUCCCAUUGUGUAGAUGGGAAACUGAGGCACAGAGAUGGAAAGUGACAGGUCUGUCCCACUCCCAGGACGAGCACUUCUCCACACUGCGCACACCACUUUCACUUGAGAGCUUCUGUCUACACCCCACACACCCUGGAUAUGUGCACGGAGCAGAGUGGAUCUGGAAUUCUCUUCCUGGGAGUGUGAUUUCCAUGGCUGGUCUGGGCACAUAGGUGCCCACUCUGAUCUUAUAUACCACCCAGGCUUCUCCACACACUCAAGAACUCCCAGGACCCACGCCUGAACUCAAGAUCACCCAGCCCCCAGUCAUUCCAGUUUCAGAUCCCAGAGGCUAAACCCUCAUGUCUCCUGUACCUCCUUCCCCUGGGGAUAGAUCACAACCACCCUGAGCAAGGUUCGUGACUGACCUACUCCUCGUCCCAGUCAACUAGUUGCUCCCCUCAAUCCUCUCCAUCUUUUUCUUCUCAUCCCCAUGGCAACCACCUACUUAAACCCCUUUUACCUUCCUCCUCAAACCCUGUCUCCCUGACUCUGAGAUUCCCCCAGAGCAGCCACAGUGACCUCCGGACUGUAUCACUCCACAGCACACACCCUGUUCCUGGACAAGGCCCUUGGAAGUCUGCCCUCAAGUAGAUGGAUUCCCUCGCACUCCCCACUGUGUGAUCCGGCAGUCCCCAUCACUCACUGUCCCUGAGUCCGCUCAGCGGGGAAGACCUCCCACGCACCCCUCAACCCCAGGCACCUAUGAAAAUUCUCAUUGUCCUUGAAAGCCUUCCAGAGAGUCCUCUUGGAUUCAACUCCCCACACCCCUGCAGUUUGGGAUGCAUGGUGCCUUCCUCUGGUGCCUUGAGACCACAGUGGCACCCCACAUGAGAGGCCAUUGGCCUCUCUGUUCUUCUACCCCACUCUAUAUCCUUGCAGCAUGGAUGGGACCACCUCAUCUGAGGCCCCACUUCCCUACAAAGGGGUCCAAGCCUGCCACUGAGGUUCUGGACUGAGCUGGGGGGCCUGAAGGAUAGGGAAUCUAGGCUCAGCCAUCCUUUGGCUUGGCUCAGGUCCAGGGCAAGGGAAGUAGUGGGGCUCAGGGGCUCAGGCUGCCGGCCCUGUUUGGAAUCUUUGCCCUCCCUGUUGCUACUGGACACAUGCACC